rnacentral:lncRNA from 1 species
UGGGAUAACUGAGAAUCCUAAGGGACAUGCGUUCCCGCUAUUAGGAACAGUGACAGCAGUCACGACGUUAACAGCCCUCAUACAUACAGCCAUCAUCGACUCUGUACCAAGCAGUGUGCUAGGUGGUUUACACUUGUUGAGGGAGGUGGCUAUUUUUAAGCUGGAGGCAACAUGAGUUUGCUGCUCCCAACUGUGCAAACAUUCUGUUAAAGAGAAAAAAGGAGCCUUAUUUUUUUUUGAGGAAAGCACUUCGUUGGGGUUGAUGGUCAGGAAUUAUGGGCUUGGGUAGGUAAGCGUGGGCUGAGAUUAAGAAAGAGU